CAGGGAUGAAGGGGGGCAAAAAAAAGGAGAAAAAAAACAGAACAGCUGAGAUUUAAUAUAAUUUCAGGCUCAGAUUAGAGACACUAAACUUAUUUUUUAUACCAGGCUGAUGAUAUCAGAUGAACUGGUAACAGGGGACUUCCCCUCACUACUUGUUCUGAUUGGUCCCUACAUGUUUUCUACAGAGGUGGUACUAUAUGGUAUUAUUUUGUUUAUUUUUACCACCUGAUGUGACAAAACAACCAUAGAUUUAUUCUUUCUUUCUGUUGUCUUUUCAUUUAUCCUGUCACCUUGUCUUUGUUUCUUUUUCUUGACUAUCUUUCUCUCCUUUGUAUUUCUCUUUCACUUUCUCUUUUACAUUCCUACACUUUCUUUUCUGUUUAGUUUUUGUUUUACUUUGUGUCUUUAUCGCUUUCAUUUUGUGUCACGGUCCGUGGAGAUAGACCGUGUGGGAAUGUGUGUGUUGGACCCAGACGCGAACACAAGCGAAGAUGCAGGAGUGGAUUAAACAAAAGCGAGCCUUUUAUUAUGGCUGAUAACAGAACAAACCAGAGCGAGGGCAGUAUAAGGGUAAUAGUUCAAACAGAAAACCUAAACUGGACAUAAACUAAGAAAAAGCUAUGGCUGGAGAUACGGAACACAGGGGGUGGUAACACAGACGACGCGACACAGACUACAUGAAACACAGAGACUAAAUACACAAGAGGGAUGAUCAGGGGAAGUGGCCACACAUGGGAACACAGCUGACACAGAUAAACAUAACAAGACAUGGCAGGAGUAAACAACACUGACGGGAGACUGUCAAAGUAAAACAGGAAGUACACAGAGGUGCAAACAGGAGGAGAGAGAGAGCACGGGCAUAGUGGGCUGGGGAAACAUGGAAUGAAACAAGGAGGGGAGAUGAGGGCUCACAGAUACAUAGAGGGGCACACAGGGGAUAAAAGUCACAAGGGGAAGUCAAAUAAGGAACACCACAACAGGACAACUUAGGAAACAUGGCCUAAAUAAGGAACGAAAUACAAAAAUACAAGAAACUAAGAAUACUGGGCCCACAUGGCCCAGGACCAUGACAUUUUGUCUUUGUUGCACUCACGCUUUCUUUUUCUACUUUUCCUGUGUUCUUUCUUCCUUUCUAUCUCUUUCCCCAUAUCUAUUUUUAUCUCUUUUAUUCUUUUUAUCUUUUUUUCUACUUGUCUUUUUUCUAAUUUUUCUCACAUUUUCUCUUUUUAUUUCUUUUUUUCUCCAUUAUUCUUUGUUCUUUUAACCUCUUUUCCUUCUAACUUCAUCUUUUUCACUUACUGCUUGUCCCUGCUUUUCUCAUUUCUGUACUUUUUCUUUGCUGAUUUUUUUCUCUCCUCGUGUUUUGAUUUUUCUUUCCUUUUCUGUCUUUCUUCGUCUUUCUUACAUUCUUACUUUUUUUACUCUUUAUGUUCUUGAACUUUCUUCCUUUCUUGUUCUUUUCACCCCUUUUCUGUUCCAUCUAUCCCUUUCCUUCUUUGUUUCUCUCUCUUUCUUUAUUGUUUUUUCCUCCUGGCUGUUCUUACUUUCUUCUUCAGUCAGUCUGCAACAUGGGACCCUCCAACUCUCACAUGCUCAAUACAUGGUAGUAAAAAAUCUGCAGUAAACAGAGAGCAGCCUCGGGUCACCUGGUUGACAAACAUAAAAUCCACCGACAGGUGAGGCAGACAGCUUCUUCUUAAACUCCAAUGUUCUGCUGGGAAACCUUGUGAAGGUCUUACUUUGACAGCUAUACCAAACUCCCCAACAGAGCAUAAGAAUCCUCCAAGGCCUCAACCAAAAACUCCACCCUCCUGGUGCUACCCACUGCUGGCGACCCCCAGAGGUCCCAUGUGGGGGUUAACACAAUAUAAGGCUAUAUUUUGUUUUAGUUCUUUUCAACAAGCUAUCUUUUGUGAUUAAAACAAAUGCAGUGAGUCUAAUCUAGAAAGGUCUGCACAGACGUUACAAUCAAAACAUUGCUGAAGUCUGACAAGGUUGCACAACCCCAUCAAGGAAAAGUGGUGCGAAAAGCCUUUCAUGUACCUUUGUACUUGCAUUCCCACUCUCUACCUUUCCAUUUUGUUGCACACACACACCCCAUCAGCAGAGCUUCUGUUGUGUCUGCAGCCAAAACAAUACCCGUGAGCAGCGGACGCCAUUCGACUCCCCUCACAGGUCGCCGAGCACUCCCUGCUAGCUAAUUACAACAGGGUGCGUGUGUCUGUCUGCACCCCUCCCUCCUGCCUGAAAACACAGGGCAUCUGCAGAGGACGGCGGGAGGGUUGUGCCAGGGUUGCGAGGGGGACGUAUUUCUGACAAAUGUGCCAUCUCCAUAAUUAGCUGGAAAGCAACAUAUGAAACAUUAAACACGCCGGGCGCUGACGACAAUCAAAACAUUUCAUUUGUUGUCAAUUAUUCAUUACUUUGAAGGUUCUGAAGGGGUCGUUAAUAUGGAAAUAAGCUUGCGAUGCUAACAAGGUUGUAGUAUCUGAUUCGAAAUCAUCUGAGCACAGAGCGCCCCUUCCCUUGCUUCCUUUCUUUUUUCCUUUUUUCUUUUCGGCUAAUAUUUUGCCUUUUUUUUUUUGUCUCUAUUGUGAUUUCGUCUCUUAUUCAUGAAGCCUGCUCUUCAAACAAAACCCUUGAACAACAAGCUGCUUUUAUCCACUUUAAACUCCAUUUGAUGGAAUUCUUUGAUAGCUCCGAGUUCAGCUCUGCCUCAAAUGAAGUUAAACCACCCAAAACUAAUCUAGUCCCAUUUUUUAAAAAAAAUUUUAUUUCACCAUUUUCAUUCUUUACCUGACUCUAUUAGUGGGUGCUUCCCCUCGGCGGCUGUCACAGCAGACCUGCCAAGAGAGCGGUCAGUAAAGUUCCCGUCUGUAGCUUUUCACGGUUUAGUUGCUCUACAAUUAAUUAAUGGGAUGAAAAAGUCCCACACAGCACCUCGCCGCCUCUGGAGCAGCAGCAGCUACCUUUGCCAGCUGUCAAAUUGGAGAGACGUGGACUGGAAAAAUAAGCCCGAGGCUGUGGCUAUUUAAGGUAAUUAGUUCUGAUUCAUGCAGCUCUCAAUCCCUAUUACCUGUUAACUGCUGCCACCAUCAACCAGCGUUCAGCCUGGGGAGUUCAGCUUUGCGUGUGCGUUCAUGUGAAGACUGAAGGCACGGAAAGCAGAAGGAUGCCAGAAUCCAAUCAAAGGUUUGGGUUAUUAAAAUAUGACCAGUGAUGUUGUCUGGGCGAGGCAGAAGUACAGUCAACCUGAAAUAAAGGUCGAUUGUGUUUGAGUGAACUUUUAGGAAGCUCUUUUGUUGAGUGCUCUUAAUCAAAUUGGAUUCUGAAGCUUCCUGUUCCUAAAAAUCUGACAUUUAUGGGAUAAAACAGCCGAACAUCACGGUUUAAGUUUAUUUUCUGCUUAACCAACCCGUCAGGAGACAUUAUAAAGUGUUGUUUCUUCUUCGUUUCAUUCAUGGCAUGUAGUACUGUGCAAAACUCUUGAGCCACCCCACAUUUCUUUAUAUUUUGAGAUUUUCUUGUCAUUUAUUUAGUUCUCCAAGCUUUUGUUGUGUUUAACAAGUAGGCCAAUCCAGAGAGAGUUGACAGGAAAGCAGGAUAUUAGUGAGGGGGGAAUGACACACAGGACAUGGGUGAACUUCAAACUGGGUCAUUGUAGUAGUUUUUGGCAUAUGGGUCACCUUCUCAAUCGGGGAGCAAUAGUGGCAACCUGUUUUCCAGACUUCUUCAAAGACAUUCAAAGCUCUUUUGUGGGUGUUUCUGCUUUUUGUCCUGUUCUCUGCUGCUUCAACAAUGGCCCAUUCCUGCGCCCUGAAUACAACUGCCACUUCCUGUUUGCCAGCCUGGCCUUUUACCUGGAUUUGUUUGGGUGAAGCACAAGGAAACAAAACAAUUUGGAGGAUACCUCCACCUCCCCAGUCUUUCUUCCACCUGCUCCCUACACUCACUGCAGAUCACAGUGUCAUCAUAUUCCAUGGAGACUCCUGUCGGACCUCAUCUGUCAACCUGUCCGUCACCUUUGAUGGGCAAUGUAUUAAUAUGUCAUCAGCUACAUCGCCACGGGAUAAUGUAAUGUUUUUUUAAGUACAGCAUUUGCAAACAAUGUUAAUAGUUCAUCUACGGCUUCAGUACUUGGCAAAGUAAUUUUAUUAAAAGUCAUCCACAAGUAAUAGUAAUAGUUGUGUGUUUGCAGAAAACCAUGUUCCCUCACCUAUCAGGUCAGAGGUUUGAUCUGAUUUCUGGCCAGCUUGCGGUCUUUCUUUUGGAUGUUAAACUCCAAAGUUCACUUUUGUCUCUAAAAGCCGAAACUAUCUUUUUGCUCUCUGACCUACUAAGCCACACGCAAGCAGCUUUUGGAGCAUUUUUUACUUUGGAUAUUGGACUUAAAAAGUUAUGUUUUAACUGUCAGUUGAUCACACAACCUUGAACUCCUGCCAGACCACACCAUGCCCAAGCUUUUCUUGGAGCCGUGUAAUUUUCACAGAGUUGAGCAGUACACAGAAUUCACUGGCUCAUGGUGACAUAUUCAUUGAGAAACUGAGACUUCAUAGUGCAAGUCUUUCUAUCUUUUUAGUGCUGGACAUUACAGUUUAGAAACCAAAUUUUAACAACAAGUUUAAAACUAACUCGGGAGAUAUUUUUGUCUUGGUGCUACCCAAGCUAAGCAGUUUUUUGCCCCCUACAGCUUUCAGUCUUUUUCUGAAGCUCAUCUAAGAAAACAUGUUAAAAACAAAGAGUACUGAAGUAUCUUGACUAAAACUCUGACCUGAAUUGGAGUAUUUAGAGGUGUAAAUAUCUCACUGUAAUAGCAAAAAAGCUCUGUAACCAUUGGAGCAGUUUCAUAAAUGUAUUUUAGAACAACAUUGCAUCUCUUUAUUUUAUGUUCAUUCUCCUGAAAAUACUUCCUGAUCUUAACUUAAAUACUUACAUUUGAAACUUUCAUAUGUAAGUCACUGUAAGUUAGUUAUACACUGCCCUUCCUCUGGGGCAAUUUAUUUUAGCAACAAAUUACAAUCUACUGCAAUAAUUUUAACUUUUUUUAAUUUUAGGAAAGCUCAAUAACAUGUUGGAAAUACUUCUUCUAUUACACUCAUGUUUUGAUGUUUAAAAAUGUUUUAAUCUACCCAUAAGUGCUUAGAUCUGGGGUAUAUUUCUAAUCCUCCUCUACUGAUCAUGAAAAACCUUUCAAAAGUGCCACAGUUUGUUUUGCCUAACUAAACCUUACUUUGCCAAUUCUUUGAUCAAAACUGUCCACUUCCCUCAGCAAAGACGGAGCUACUUUGUAUUUUUUUUUUCCCCUGCAUGUGUGUGUGAACCCAGCAAGCCGGCGGUCAUCAUUAAGACAGUAAAUCUGCAUAUUCCUUCUCUCGCUCUCUCUUUUUUUUCUCCAUUUUACAGUACAGUCACUGUAAGGUUAAGUAGCCCCAGGAAAGACAAUACCAGCCACUCUUCAAUUAUUUAUUCUCACAUCAUCCCAAAAAGAUGACAAAUGCUAAUUUUGGUCCAUUCCCCAGCUGGGCAUCCAAGUGCUCAUUAGUUUUAAAGAAGGUUAAUCCAUUUAGGUUUU
ensembl:lncRNA